UUAAAUACCCGCAGGGGGGCACUUGGCGCUCUCUCGGCCUUAGCGCCAUCUUCUUAGAAACCUCUGCGCCAUGAGAGCCAAGUGGAGGAAGAAGCGAAUGCGCAGGCUGAAGCGCAAAAGAAGAAAGAUGAGGCAGAGGUCCAAGUAAACCGCCAGCUUGAGCACCCGUGGAAGCCACAGGAGCAGAAAUGAGGGAAGCCACAGGCCAGGGACACUGGUACAAAUUGUUCGACUGCAUGCCUGCUUUGACGACAGCUCGAUGGAUGUAGAACAUACAUUGCCAUCUGAUCGCCGUGACCACCCUUGGAGAGACCCACGCAGCUCUUAAAACGACAGUCCCUUUUGGUCCUUUGCCCUGGACCUGUGACAUUCUGGACUGGUUCUGUUCUCAUUUGUGGCUGAAUGUGUACAAUAAAUCAUCUCUUCUUACCUGAAGAAAACAA